AAAGAAACACCUGCAGGCUGAAGUUCUUUCAAAAGUGUGGACAGUACAGCAGAGCGCUGAAGCGCUUCUUGUUGUACACUAACACCGAAGAAAACAUGGCGAUUGAGACGGGGCAGCGAGGGGUGGCAUCCCGAGUUGCAUCUUCCGAGAGGAAGAUCCCACUAAAGCUACAAGUCAACCUACCGGAAAUAUGCCCC